UGGGGAAUCUUAGACAAUGGGGGCAACCCUGAUCUAGCCAUGCCGCGUGAGUGAUGAAGGCCUUAGGGUCGUAAAGCUCUUUCGCCUGUGAUGAUAAUGACAGUAGCAGGUAAAGAAACCCCGGCUAACUCCGUGCCAGCAGCCGCGGUAAUACGGAGGGGGUUAGCGUUGUUCGGAAUUACUGGGCGUAAAGCGCGCGUAGGCGGAUUAGAAAGUUGGGGGUGAAAUCCCGGGGCUCAACCCCGGAACUGCCUCCAAAACUGCUAGUCUAGAGUUCGAGAGAGGUGAGUGGAAUUCCGAGUGUAGAGGUGAAAUUCGUAGAUAUUCGGAGGAACACCAGUGGCGAAGGCGGCUCACUGGCUCGAUACUGACGCUGAGGUGCGAAAGUGUGGGGAGCAAACAGGAUUAGAUACCCUGGUAGUCCACACCGUAAACGAUGAAUGCCAGUCGUCGGAUAGUAUACUAUUCGGUGACACACCUAACGGAUUAAGCAUUCCGCCUGGGGAGUACGGUCGCAAGAUUAAAACUCAAA
rnacentral:rRNA from 1 species